AAAUGGUGACGGGAAAAAACACAGCUGGACUUUACAAGAGCCAACACUCAACGUUUUAAAAGAAUUUACAAUAAGUGGAAAAGCUUGACGGACAUAAGUUGGCAGCACAGACUUGUUGUGUCCAGAGUCAGCAGGUCAGUAGAACAAAUUAAAAACCGCUGGGAACCAACGAGCGCUUUCUACAAAGACAAGCUAAACAAGCAGAAGCUGCGCGGCUCCAACCAGCUUCUCUUAUUAUGAAUUAAUGGAGUAAUAAUCGGAGGUCGAUCCUCUCCAAGGAGGACACUGGAGGAGAAGUCGGUUUUACACCGGAGGAAAGUUCACGCUAGACACCGGAAAGCCUGGAGAUGAUGAUGAUGUAAAGAGCAUGUCGGAGGAGAUUGAUGAUAGCAGAUCUCCACAACCUGAAAACCACACAGAGGAGGCUCCAGACAAAAAAGUGUUUUUUUUUUUAAAGAGAAUAGCUGCAAAAUAAAACUACAAUCGAAAGCCAUCAUCUGGUUAUGCCAAGCUCCUGGGUGAUCGAUCAGCCCAGCAGAGAUCUUUCCUGGACAACAUGCAACAGCAGCAUGAGAGGAAUCUGGAAAGAGAAGCGAGCCUUCUUUCCAGGUUUAUGGAAGAAAGUACCCGCUCAACUGAAAGCAUUAUAGGGAAACUGUUUGAUGGUGUUUGGGCUCUCCUUUCUCAGUCCUACUCAUCAGCUCCACAUUUAGUCUAGGACCUCGCUGAGACAAGCAUGUAACAGCCUGAAAACUACCACUCGUUCCGAGUGUUACUUCAAAUACAGCUGGAUUAUCUAAACUGCAGCAGCUAUAGAAUUUCCAAGGUACUCAGUAUGCUCAGAAUGACCAGUACAUGUUUAGA